GCUACUGCAGCAUAUGGCCACCAGCCCAAGUGAAACAAAACGUUGUUUUAAAACGAGUUAUGUAUUCAUAAUGUCCACUCAUUGUUUUGUAAUCUCUGCUCUCUCUGUGGUUAUGUCUUCCUAUUAAUUUCUGAUACUAAUUUUGUAAUUUCCCUCUUUUCUUGAUAAAUCUCACCAAUGACUUGUGUACUAGACUUUUCUUGGAAACAACUGUCAGCUUCCAUCCACUGCUGUGGCAUCGUCCACGGCUGGGGCAUCAUCCACAACUGGGUCAUCAUCCACGGCUGGGGCGUCAUCCACGGCUGAGUCAUCCACGGCUGGGGCAUCAUCCACUGCUGGGUCGUCAUCCACGGCUGAGUCAUCAUCCACGGCUGGGGCAUCAGGGGCAUCAUCCACGGCUGGGUCUUCAUCCAUGCUGGGUCAUCAUCCACUGCUGGGCAUCCACAGCUGGGGCAUCAUCCACGCCUGGGGCAUCAUCCACAACUGGGUCGUCAUCUAUGGCUGAAUCAUCAUUCACGGCUGUGGCAUCAGGGGCAUCAUCCAUAGCUGGGUCACCAUCCACGCUGGGUCGUUAUCCACGACUGGGGCAUCCACGCCUGGGGCAUCAUCCAAGGCUGGGGCAUCAUCCACGGCUGGGGCAUCAUCCACUGCUGGAGUAUCAUCCACGGCUGGGGCAUCAUCCACGGCUGGGCAUCAUCCACGGCUGAGUUCGUCUUCCACAGCUGGGG
rnacentral:lncRNA from 1 species